CCUACGGGAGGCAGCAGUGGGGAAUUUUGGACAAUGGGGGCAACCCUGAUCCAGCCAUGCCGCGUGAGUGAAGAAGGCCUUCGGGUUGUAAAGCUCUUUCGGACGGAACGAAACGGGCGGGACCAAUACUCCUGUUCACUGACGGUACCGUAAGAAGAAGCACCGGCUAACUACGUGCCAGCAGCCGCGGUAAUACGUAGGGUGCGAGCGUUAAUCGGAAUUACUGGGCGUAAAGCGUGCGCAGGCGGUUUUGUAAGCUGGAGGUGAAAUCCCCGGGCUUAACCUGGGAAUGGCCUUCAGGACUGCAAGGCUUGAGUACGGCAGAGGGAGGUGGAAUUCCACGUGUAGCAGUGAAAUGCGUAGAUAUGUGGAGGAACACCGAUGGCGAAGGCAGCCUCCUGGGCCAGUACUGACGCUCAUGCACGAAAGCGUGGGGAGCGAACAGGAUUAGAUACCCUGGUAGUCCACGCCCUAAACGAUGUCAACUAGGUGUUGGGGGAGGUGACUUCCUUAGUACCGCAGCUAACGCGUGAAGUUGACCGCCUGGGGAGUACGGCCGCAAGGUUAAAACUCAAAGGAAUUGACGG
rnacentral:rRNA from 1 species